AUGAAGUUGAAGAUCUCCUUCCCAGCCACCAGCUUUCAGAAACUCAUUGAGGUGGACGUUGGGCACAGACUUCAGCCUUUCUACGGACAGCCUUAGCCACAGGAGUCAUUGAUGAUGUUCAGGAUGAAGAGUAAAGGUUAUGUGGUCCCAACAGUUGGUGGAACCACAAACAAGGUUUUCCCGUGAAGCAGGUUGUCUUGACUGCUGGCAGAGUGCCCCUGCUGUUGAGGGAGGGGCAUUCUUGUUAUCUAGGUCAAGGAGAACAGAAGAGGAUGCCUGAGUCUGUGUGUGAAUGCCCUGUGGAUGCCAAGCUGACUAUUCUCAACUUGGUUAUUGGUUUUUGUUUUUGUUUUUUAAAAAGGAAAGAAAGAUAUUCCUGGACUGACAGAUCGUAUUGCACCUCUGCAGUUGGGGACCUAAAAGAGCUAACAGAUGUUUAAAGGUUUCCAAUCUCUCUAAAGAAGAUGACCACCCCCACCCCCACCCCCCAUCCUAUGAGACAGCCCUUCAACAAGGAGGUAAGAAGCUCAGAACAAAAACACCCAAUAUUCAGCAUCUUGUUAGUCCACAUGUCACGCAACACAAACUGCCAACAGACGGCUCUGAAGAAACAACACACUAUGAAAAGCAAGGAGGGGCAGCAGAACAUGCUAAACUUCAGCCAAAAGAGUGAAGAAAGCCAAAGAAAAAUGCCAGGGACAGACUGCCAGGAGACAGACAUGGUCCUCACUAAGAGCUUCAAUUUCUGAGUCCAGGAAUAAAAUAA
rnacentral:lncRNA from 1 species